CGUCAGCCAAUCGAGCGGCGUCGUUCCUGACACAGGACGCAGACCACGCCCAGUGUUCCAGUGUUUUGGGAGUGUGUCUUGAGGAGAAAGCUGAACAUCUCAUCUACACAGUCUUAAAGCUCCAGUACAUAAUCUCCAAAUGAAACGCUGCCCUCUGCUGGCCAGUAACGCACGCACUUCUCCUGCAGUGGGAGUUGUCCGACAUGACAUGGAAUUGUGGAAGACUCAGUCAGCAUGACAAUAGAGUGGCACUUCCACUCCCAUACCAUUCGCCAGAAGUCCUGCACAGUGUGAGCUAAAGGUGCCUGAGUAGCUAUAAAGUAAUCCUUCUUCCUAUAACCCUGCAAAGACCCACUCGGUCCAUCUGUGUGUGUGUGUUGUGAAGUUUGUGGAGGUGGCCUUCCAAAGAAGCAAUGUCUAACUCUGUGUCACCAUACAGGUAAUGCUCUAAAAGUGCCUGGUAAAUGAAUGAAUACUGCAUCUGUG